AAGGAUUUAAGUUAAAAAAACUAUUAACCUUCAAAGUUAAAAAUAGAGUUUAAUCUCUAAACCUUA
rnacentral:tRNA from 1 species